CCUCUUGCACCGAUCAUUUUAUCAAAAGCUGCUGUACGAACACCUCAUCAUGUACUUGGUCAAAGUGGUUCUCCUGCUUCUAAUGUUUCCAGGCUCGUUCUGUUGGGCAUGUAAGUGGGGAUACGAGAAAAGAGCCAACAGCUACACAGAAGGACAGUGGGGACAACCUUGCUACAUGUGCCAACAACCAGCAAGUGGAGGUGACCUUGGUGAUCAUUACUUUGCAUGUAAUUUUGGCCUCAAAUGUGUGGAUACUUAUGUAAAAGACGGCAGGUACACGGUGGAGGACCACACAUGUCGGUCAAUUCUUUCUAUCUUUUAAUUCCGUCACCAAAAGAAAUCUAGGCGGUCUUUGGCCGCGCCAACAAUGUGCCUCCAGGAUCCUCUGUCUUCUGCCAGCUCCAGGUCUGCUCCCAUUCUUUUUAGAUCAUUCGUAACCUUGUCAAUUUAUCGCAUCCUUGGUCUUCCCACUGGUCUCCUGCCCUCCAGAGUACCCCUUAGCACCUGUUUUACAUCCUUCUCUCAGUUCUGCAUUGAAUGUGGCCCAGCCAACUCACCCUGUACUCUUUUCCACUCCCACAAUAUCUGGUACUCUAUAAUUAUAGAUAACAUAUGUCGGUGUAAGAAAUACUAAAACUGAGCUGUAAACUAUUUUUGACAACCACAAUAAAUAAGAUUUCAGAAGA